rnacentral:rRNA from 1 species
AGUGAACGCUGGCGGUAGGCCUAACACAUGCAAGUCGAACGGCAGCACAGUAAGAGCUUGCUCUUACGGGUGGCGAGUGGCGGACGGGUGAGGAAUACAUCGGAAUCUACUUUUUCGUGGGGGAUAACGUAGGGAAACUUACGCUAAUACCGCAUACGACCUACGGGUGAAAGCAGGGGAUCUUCGGACCUUGCGCGAUUGAAUGCGCCGAGGUCGGAUUAGCUAGUUGGCGGGGUAAAGGCCCACCAAGGGGACGAUCCGUAGCUGGUUUGAGAGGAUGAUCAGCCACACUGGAACUGAAACACGGUCCAGACUCCUACGAGAGGCGGAAGUGGGGAAUAUUGGACGAUGGGCGCAAGCCUGAUCCAGGCAUACCGCGUGGGUGAAGAAGGCGUUCGGGUUGUAAAGCCGUUUUGUUGGGAAAGAAGAGCAGCAGGUUAAUACCCCGCUGUUCUGACGGUACCCAAAGAAUAAGCACCGGCUAACUUCGUG